GACAGAGGGGGCAAGCGUUGCUCGGAAUCACUGGGCGUAAAGGGCGCGUAGGCGGUUCGUACAGUCAGACGUGAAAUGCCUGGGCUCAACCUGGGGGCUGCGUUUGAUACGUGCGGACUUGAGUGCGGAAGAGGGUCGUGGAAUUCCCAGUGUAGAGGUGAAAUUCGUAGAUAUUGGGAAGAACACCGGUGGCGAAGGCGGCGACCUGGUCCGAUACUGACGCUGAGGCGCGAAAGCGUGGGGAGCAAACAGG
rnacentral:rRNA from 1 species